CCUACGGGAGGCAGCAGUGAGGAAUAUUGGUCAAUGGGCGCGAGCCUGAACCAGCCAAGUCGCGUGAGGGAAGACGGUCCUAUGGAUUGUAAACCUCUUUUGUCGGGGAGCAAAAGACGCCACGCGUGGCGUUCCGAGAGUACCCGAAGAAAAAGCAUCGGCUAACUCCGUGCCAGCAGUCGCGGUAAUACGGAGGAUGCGAGCGUUAUCCGGAUUUAUUGGGUUUAAAGGGUGCGCAGGCGGAAGAUCAAGUCAGCGGUAAAAUUGAGAGGCUCAACCUCUUCGAGCCGUUGAAACUGGUGUGCUUGAGUGAGUGAGAAGGAUGCGGAAUGCGUGGUGUAGCGGUGAAAUGCAUAGAUAUCACGCAGAACUCCGAUUGCGAAGGCAGCAUACCGGCGCUCAACUGACGCUCAUGCACGAAAGUGUGGGUAUCGAACAGGAUUAGAUACCCUAGUAGUC
rnacentral:rRNA from 1 species